UAAUGUGGUGUAGGUUGCAUGAUAUGUUUUGGUCAUAGUGGAGGUUUGUUGCUCAUUACAUG
rnacentral:tRNA from 1 species